rnacentral:rRNA from 1 species
AACGUAGGGGACAAACGUUAUCCGGAGUUACUGGGCGUAAAGGGCGUGUAGGCGGUUUGUUAAGUCUGGCGUGAAAGCUCUCGGCUAAACCGGGAGAGGUCGUUGGAUACUGGCAAACUAGAGGACGGUAGAGGCGUGUGGAAUUCCGGGUGUAGCGGUGGAAUGCGUAGAGAUCCGGAAGAACACCGGUGGCGAAGGCGGUCUGCUGGGCUGUGGCUGACGCUGAUGCGCGACAGCGUGGGGAGCAAACAGG